rnacentral:misc_RNA from 1 species
GAACUAUCCAACACAAGGGAGAUGUCUAGAGAUGCACAGAGACUAAACCUAUCAUGAAUACAAAAAUUUCCAUUCUAUAAUUAAAUCAACUCCAUAUGUAUCAUGGAACUCAUCUCUAAUGGGAAAAGAAGCAAAUGAUAACGUACAUGACUCAACUCGUUGCUUCAGGCUCAGAUUAUAAAAUGUCCAUCACAAUUCAAAGAACAAUACCAUCUGAGCUAAUUGUGACGCUCCACCACAUGCAGUAUAUGGUGUUAGAAUGAGUCUCAAGUCCGUGACAAAUUGUUGUUGACUACUAGAAACUAGGGAACAGUUUCCAUAAGAGCCAGCAUGUCUUUGAGGAGUUAUCCAGCAGCUGAAAAUAUGCCCCUCACAGUCUCUCAUUUGGGUAAGCACCGGCUCAACCUCAGGGAACAUAGUAAAUUGUCCAAUAAAAAGGACAAAACCAAGAUCGAUAUUGAGCUCUCCUUUCAAUUUCUCAAAGUACAUAACACGUGCUCAGUUAUGAAGAAUCAAUUAACAGGGGCUGCCUCUGCCAGUCUGCCAUUACGUUCCUCUGUAAACACCAACAUGACAGCUAUUUAGAAGUGGGCUUUUUUAGCUUCUUCCGUGACCUCCUCCUCUUUUUGGUAGGUUUUCCAGUACCAAAUACACCUUUCAUUACUGUAGUUACAUCCAAAGAUCGUUCACGCAUGAUUUUUUCAUGGUAUAUCUUACUCCCAAUAUCCGUG